rnacentral:rRNA from 1 species
UAGGUGGCAAGCGUUAUCCGGAUUUACUGGGUGUAAAGGGCGCGUAGGCGGGGAUGCAAGUCAGAUGUGAAAUCUAUGGGCUCAACCCAUAAACUGCAUUUGAAACUGUAUCUCUUGAGUGCUGGAGAGGUAGAUGGAAUUCCUUGUGUAGCGGUGAAAUGCGUAGAUAUAAGGAAGAACACCAGUGGCGAAGGCGAUCUACUGGACAGUAACUGACGCUGAGGCGCGAGAGCGUGGGGAGCAAA